rnacentral:rRNA from 1 species
UACGAAGGGGGCUAGCGUUGCUCGGAAUCACUGGGCGUAAAGGGUGCGUAGGCGGGUCUUUAAGUCAGGGGUGAAAUCCUGGAGCUCAACUCCAGAACUGCCUUUGAUACUGUAGGGUCUUGAAUUAGGGAGAGAGUUACGUGGAAUUCCGAGUGUAGCAGUGAAAUGUGUAGAUAAUUCGGAAGAACACCAGAGGCGGAAGGCAGCGAAUUGGCCCUAUAUUGACGACUCAGGCACGGAAAGCAUGGGG